GUUUAAAUUCCACUUAGAAAAAUAUCAAGAAAAGCGCGUCAUGAUUGAAACCUAAAAUAGAUGUGAUAAAAAUGCUAGACGAGCCUCUGAUUACCAUUUUGAGAGGUGCUUUGACCGUCGUCAACCGUUCCUGAACAGUUUGAAGUCAAAGUUUUACGCAGCCAAGAAAUGAAGAUAAAGUAAUGAAUGAAGCUGUGGAUGUUAGUUUAUUGGCCCUUGUAAUCCAGAAUCCACAGAUUUCAUCCUGAGAGAUAGUAGCAGAAUCCGGGACUUCCCAAAGCACUGUGAUGAGAGUUUUGAAAAAACACAAAUUUAAAAAUCGAGGUUCACAGAGAAAUUCGGCAAGAGGACACUAUGUCGCCCAAAUUACUCAAUCUAGUACUCGAAGAAGCCUUUAUAGACACAUGGAAUGGGGACAUAAACGUUUAUUUAUCAAUGGCGAAAGGAUCACCCACUUGCUAUAUGCUGACGAUGUAGUAUUAAUUGCAGAUAACCCAGACCAAAUACAAUAAAUGCUGUUCGAGGUGGACGAACAAAUACCAAGGGACAAGAAAAAUAAAUAUAGAAAGAUUUAAACAAACUGCAAAAAACGCCCACUAAUAAACUUUCCCAAUUCGAACACAUCCAGAUAAAACGUAUGAAUAUACAUUGUAUUCUUUACUAGCA